UACGGAGGGUGCGAGCGUUGUCCGGAAUCAUUGGGCGUAAAGGGCGCGUAGGUGGCCCGGUCAGUUCGUGGUGAAAGCGCGGGGCUCAACCCUGCGUCGGCCAUGAAUACUGCCGCGGCUGGAGCACUGUAGAGGCAGGCGGAAUUCCGGGUGUAGCGGUGGAAUGCGUAGAGAUCCGGAAGAACACCGGUGGCGAAGGCGGCCUGCUGGGCAGUUGCUGACACUGAGGCGCGAAAGCGUGGGGGAGCAAACAG
rnacentral:rRNA from 1 species